rnacentral:rRNA from 1 species
GAUUAACGCUGGCGGCGUGCCUAACACAUGCAAGUCGAACGAGGUAGCAAUACCUAGUGGCAGACGGGUGAGUAACGCGUGGUCAACCUACCGUUGAGUGGGGGAUAACUAGCCGAAGGGUUAGCUAAUACCGCAUACGUCUCCGAGUGGCAUCACUUGGCGAUAAAAGGAGCAAUCCGCUCGAUGACGGAACCGCGUCCCAUUAGCUAGAUGGUGGGGUAACGGCCUACCAUGGCACCGAUGGGUAGCUGGUUUUGAGAGAGCGACCAGCCACACUGGGACUGAGAAACGGCCCAGGACUCCUACGGGAGGCAGCAGUGAGGAAUUUUCCGCAAUGGGCGCAAGCCUGACGGAGCGACGCCGCGUGUGGGAAGAAGGCC